UAUUAAGCUAAAAUCGAAUGGGCUACUUGCGAGAAUUUGAUUCCGGCGGCCAAUGUUGGCCAUGUUGUUGAUCUGCUUUUGGGUUCCUAUGCCACUGUUGCGCUGCUGGCAAAUUUUGUACUCAAUGCAUUUAUUUUACUCUUUCUAUCUCUCAAGGGACGACGAGGAUGCGUUUUGGAGAAGCUGGGGGUUGUGGCAGAGGAGAAGAUCAGGGCGGAGGUGGUCCGGCUAUUAACUUGGGUGCCUAGAGCAUUUUCUAGGUGCCCAAAUUUUUU